rnacentral:rRNA from 1 species
UACGGAGGAUGCAAGCGUUAUCCGGAAUGAUUGGGCGUAAAGCGUCCGCAGGUGGCUGUGUAAGUCUGCUGUCAAAGAGCGAAGCUCAACUUCGUAAAGGCAGUGGAAACUACACGGCUAGAGUGCGUUCGGGGCAGAGGGAAUUCCUGGUGUAGCGGUGAAAUGCGUAGAUAUCGGGAGGAACACCAGUGGCGAAGGCGACUACCUGGCCUGUUCUUGACGCUGAGGCGCGAAAGCUAGGGGAGCAAACGGG